AGCGAACGCUGGCGGCAGGCUUAACACAUGCAAGUCGAACGCCCGUAGCAAUACGGGAGUGGCAGACGGGUGAGUAACGCGUGGGAACAUGCCCUUUGGUUCGGAAUAACUCAGGGAAACUUGAGCUAAUACCGGAUAAGCCCGAGAGGGGAAAGAUUUAUCGCCGAAGGAUUGGCCCGCGUCCGAUUAGCUAGUUGGUGAGGUAAUGGCUCACCAAGGCGACGAUCGGUAGCUGGUCUGAGAGGAUGAUCAGCCACACUGGGACUGAGACACGGCCCAGACUCCUACGGGAGGCAGCAGUGGGGAAUAUUGGACAAUGGGGGCAACCCUGAUCCAGCCAUGCCGCGUGAGUGAUGAAGGCCCUAGGGUUGUAGAGCUCUUUCGGCGGGGACGAUAAUGACGGUACCCGCAGAAGAAGCCCCGGCUAACUUCGUGCCAGCCGCCGCCGUAA
rnacentral:rRNA from 1 species